GACGAACCGUGCGAACGUUGUUCGGAAUCACUGGGCUUAAAGGGCGCGUAGGCGGGCUGACAAGUCUGGGGUGAAAUGCCGCGGCUCAACCGUGGAACUGCCUUAGAUACUGUCGGCCUCGAAGGAGGUAGGGGCAUGCGGAACUGUAGGUGGAGCGGUGAAAUGCGUUGAUAUCUACAGGAACGCCGGUGGCGAAAGCGGCGUGCUGGACCUCUUCUGACGCUGAGGCGCGAAAGCUAGGGGAGCAAACGGG
rnacentral:rRNA from 1 species